rnacentral:misc_RNA from 1 species
UAUAUAUAUAUAUAUAUAUAUACAAAUGGCUUUGGUGUUCAUUGAUUUUUUUUUUUUUUAACUGAUCCAUCCAACGUUCAUUUUUGCACCACAUAUUAGUGUAAAUCUCCUAAGCAUGAUAACCAUAAGAUCCAGUGCUAGGUGCCUGUAUUUUUUGUUCUUUUCUAUCUCUCGCUUCAAUUUUUUUUUUUUUAAGUGUUGAGAAAUAAAUAACAUUUGAUGAGAUUAGAACCCAACGUAGUCAUAGCCUCACUUAGGCAAAAAGAAUUUUUUUUUUUUCCCCAUAAUUUAGAGAAAAGGUUUAUCUAAAUUAAAUAACCCCCAAAAAUUCUUGUAAAAAAAAAAAAGAGAAAUUAUUAGCAUCCAUAUCGUACUCCAGCAUGGUUUCAAUAAAUAUUACAGUUGAGUUAUAGGCUCCAAAAAUAUUAAAAAUAUGGAAUGAUAUGUUGUUUACGUACGUUGUUGAUAAAAAGAUAUUUAUUAUUUAACCAGGUGGAGAUUUAGAAGUUAGCAGAAUCUCUGUUAAGGAGUUGGAGAUUUGAAUUUCACAAGAUGGAACAAGGGUUAGUGGAGUGUAUUGAAUAUGUACACGUAGAACUAAAAUUAAUUAAAUGCAGUGAUCCGAUAGAUAUGAUAUGGAGAAAUUAAUGCAAGAUGAUCGUAGAGGAGAGAGGAUAGAUACCAAAAAAGCUGCACAGGAAGCAAAAGCAAUGGUUCUAAACCUGCCCACAUAGGAAUCGGAGAUGAAAGCACCAAGCAGAGGAGCAAAAUUGGUU